AUACGUACUGCGCAAACGUUAUUCGGAAUCACUGGGCUUACAGGGUGCGUAGGCGGUUCGCCAGGUCAGAUGUGAAAUCCCACAGCUCAACUGUGGAACUGCAUUUGAAACCUGCGAACUUGAGUGAACUAGAGGCAUACGGAACUUCAGGUGGAGCGGUGAAAUGUGUUGAGAUCUGAAGGAACACCAGAGGCGAAGGCGGUAUGCUGGAGCUUGUCUGACGCUGAGGCACGAAAGCCAGGGGAGCGAACGGGAUUAGAAACCCUAGUAGUCC
rnacentral:rRNA from 1 species